rnacentral:rRNA from 1 species
GACGAACGCUGGCGGCGUGCUUAACACAUGCAAGUCGAACGGUGAAGCGCCUUCCUUUUUGGUGGGUGUGGAUGAGUGGCGAACGGUUGAGUAACACGUGAGUAACCUGCCCCCUUCUUCUGGAUAACCGCAUGAAAGUGUGGCUAAUACGGGAUAUUCUGCGUCUGUCGCAUGGUGGGUCUGGGACGGCUAUUGUUUCGGUGGGGGAUGGGCUCGCGGCCUAUCAGGUUGUUGGGGGGGUGAGGGCCUACCACGGCGGUGACGGGUAGCCGGCCUGAGAGGGUAGACGGCCUCAGAGGGACUGCGACAACGUUGGGACUGCGAUGGGGGGCAGAAGCGUGGAGUAUUGAACAGUGGGGGCAAGUGCAAUGCAGGGACGCGGCGGGAGCGAUGGCGGCGCGCGCGUUGUGACCCCCUUUCGCUAGUGAAGCAGGCUUGCCUCGUUUGUGGGUGGGUUGACGGUAGCUGGAUAAGAAGCGCCGGCUAACUACGUG